rnacentral:misc_RNA from 1 species
GGAAGAUGCAGAAAGCUCCGUGAUUGCAAAUCAGUUGCAAAGACUGCUGAAAGAUAUUGAAAUAGGCCUUCUAGUUGUUGGGGCUUCAGAUAAACUCCACCUGUGAUAUGUGAAGCCUGUUGCAAGAAUGCAGAGUGGUGUACUCCCACAACACAUGAAUCAAUAGGAACCAUGGACCGCUGUGCUGAGAAAAUUGCAUUCAUCACUGCCACGUAUUGUUCAGGUCCAUCGGGAGAUCCCUGCAAGCAUAGAAUCCUCGGCUGCGGAUGCAUCCCACCGCCGCGAAAGAUCCUCUGAAUAUAGCAAAGCGCCAGCGACAGCGCCCCCGAU